GAGACACGGCCCAGACUCCUACGGGAGGCAGCAGUGGGGAAUCUUGCGCAAUGGGCGGAAGCCUGACGCACUGACGCAGCGACGCCGCGUGAGGGAUGACGGCCUUCGGGUUGUAAACCCCUUUCAUUUGGGACGAAGGUUAGUGACGGUACCUGCAGAAGAUGAUCCGGCCAACUACGUGCCGGCCGCCGCGGUAAGACGUAGGGUGCAAGCGUUGUCCGGAUUUAUUGGGCG
rnacentral:rRNA from 1 species